rnacentral:rRNA from 1 species
AGUGCCGUUGAUACUGUAGGGCUAGGAUUUGGUUUGCUGUCGGGUGGAAUGUGUGGUGUAGCGGUGAAAUGCUUAGAUAAUGACACAGAACACCAAUUUGCGAAGGCAGCUUCAUUAAGCUAUAACUGACGCUCCAUGCACGAAAGCGUGGGGGAUCAAACAGGAUUAGAUACCCUGGUAGUCCACGCUGUAAACGAUGAUUACUUGAUGUUGGCGAUAUACAGUCAGCGUCUAAGCGAAAGCAAUAAGUAAUCCACCUGGGGAGUACGAUCGCAAGGUUGAAACUCAAAGGAAUUGACGGGGGCCCGCACAAGCGGAGGAGCAUGUGGUUUAAUUCGAUGAUACGCGAGGAACCUUACCUGGGCUUGAAAUGCAUCUGACCGGCCUUGAAAGAGGCUUUCCCUUCGGGGCAGAUGUGUAGGUGCUGCAUGGUUGUCGUCAGCUCGUGCCGUGAGGUGUCGGCUUAAGUGCCAUAACGAGCGCAACCCUCAUCAUUAGUUACCAUCAGGUCAAGCUGGGGACUCUAAUGAGACUGCCAUCGUAAGAUGCGAGGAAGGUGGGGAUGACGUCAAAUCAGCACGGCCCUUACGUCCGGGGCGACACACGUGUUACAAUGGGUGGUACAAAGGGCAGCUACCUGGCGACAGGAUGCCAAUCUCCAAAACCACUCUCAGUUCGGAUCGAAGUCUGCAACUCGA